rnacentral:rRNA from 1 species
CCUACGGGGGGCUGCAGUUUCGAAUCAUUCACAAUGGGCGAAAGCCUGAUGGUGCGACGCCGCGUGAGGGAUGAAGGUCUUCGGAUUGUAAACCUCUGUCACUGGGGAGAAAACGCUUGGAGUUAAUAGUUCAAAGCCUGAUUUAACCCGGAGAGGAAGCAGUGGCUAACUCUGUGCCAGCAGCCGCGGUAAUACAGAGACUGCAAGCGUGAGUCGGAUUCACUGGGCGGAAAGGGUGUGUAGGCGGUGGCAUCCCGAGGCUUCACCUCGGAACUGCGUCUGAAACUACUCGACUAGAGUACUGGAGAGGGAAACGGAAUUCACGGUGUAGCAGUGAAAUGCGUAGAUAUCGUGAGGAACACCAGAGGCGAAGGCGGUUUCCUGGACAGUUACUGACGCUCAGGCACGAAAGCAUGGGGAGCAAAAGGGAUUAGAUACCCCAGUAGUC